rnacentral:rRNA from 1 species
GUAGGGAAUAUUGGACAAUGGGGGGAACCCUGAUCCAGCCAUGCCGCGUGGAGGAAGACUGCCCUCUGGGUUGUAAACUCCUUUUAUAUGGGAAGAACCGUCCUCAUUAAUGAGUGACCUGACGGUACCAUAGGAAUAAGCACCGGCUAACUCCGUGCCAGCAGCCGCGGUAAUACGGAGGGUGCAAGCGUUAUCCGGAUUCACUGGGUUUAAAGGGUGCGUAGGCGGAUAAAUAAGUCAGUGGUGAAAUCAACGGGCUCAACCUGUUAACUGCCAUUGAUACUGUGUAUCUUGAAUAGGAGAGAGGUAGGCGGAAUGUUGCAGGUAGCGGUGAAAUGCUUAGAUAUGCUACGGAACACCGAUUGCGAAGGCAGCUUACUAUUUCGUAAUUGACGCUGAGGCACGAAAGCGUGGGUAGCGAACAGGAUUAGAUACCCGAGUAGUCC